rnacentral:rRNA from 1 species
GACGUAGGGCGCGAGCGUGUCCGGAUUUAUUGGGCGUAAAGAGCUCGUAGGCGGCUUGUCGCGUCGAAUGUGAAAACCCACGGCUCAACUGUGGGCUUGCAUUCGAUACGGGCAGGCUAGAGUUCGGUAGGGGAGACUGGAAUUCCUGGUGUAGCGGUGGAAAUGACGCAGAUAUCAGGAGGAACACCGGUGGCGAAGGCAGGUCUCUGGGCAUUAACUGACGCUGAGGAGCGAAAGCAUGGGGGAGCGAACAGG